UACAGAGGUCUCAACCGUUGUUCGGAUUCAUUGGGCGUAAAGGGUGCGUAGGCGGCGGGGUAAGUCAGGUGUGAAAUCUCGGGGCUCAACCCCGAAACUGCACUUGAUACUGCCUCGCUUGAGUACUGGAGAGGAGACUGGAAUUUACGGUGUAGCAGUGAAAUGCGUAGAUAUCGUAAGGAAGACCAGUGGCGAAGGCGGCAUCCUGGCCCUGUCCUGACGCUCAGGGGCGAAAGCGUGGGGAGCAAACCGG
rnacentral:rRNA from 1 species